rnacentral:lncRNA from 1 species
UUAUUAUUAUUAUUAUUAUUAUUAUUAUUAUUUAUUAAAAUUUGUUAAUCAGAUGAUAGGAUGGUAAAGCAGUCAUUUCCAUCUUGAAGGAUCUGAGUUCAAUUCCAGAUCCCAUAUGUCUAGUUUUUGAGGAGGAGACAUAUCUAGCCUGUUGAAUCCCAUCCUUCAAUCUUCAAGUUGACUUCACAGAUAAUGACCAGUCUGUGAAGAGCUCUAAAAAUGCUCCUGCCCAAUGUAUCGCUAGUGUAGUGGUUCUCAACUUUCCAAAUGCCGCGACCCUUUAAUGCAGUUCCUCAUGUUGUUGUGACCCUCAACCUUAAAAUUAUUUUUUUGCUACUUCAUAACUGUAAUUUUAGUACUGUUAUGAAUCAUAAUGUAAAUAUCUGAUAUGCAGGAA